UACGUAGGGACCGAGCGUUGUCCGGAUUCAUUGGGCGUAAAGGGCUCGUAGGCGGUUUGUCGCGUCGGGAGUGAAAACUCAGGGCUUAACCCUGAGCCUGCUUCCGAUACGGGCAGACUAGAGGUAUGUAGGGGAGAACGGAAUUCCUGGUGUAGCGGUGAAAUGCGCAGAUAUCAGGAGGAACACCGGUGGCGAAGGCGGUUCUCUGGGCAUUACCUGACGCUGAGGAGCGAAAGUGUGGGGAGCGAACAGG
rnacentral:rRNA from 1 species